AACCUAACCAACACCUAACCACCACCACCCUAACCAACACCACCCUCACCACCACCCUAACCACCACCCUAACCAACACCACCCUAACCACCACCCUAAACACCACCACGUGAUAUUGAACUAACCGCAGAAUUUCACUCCCAAAAUAACGCUGUACUCGCGCUACGAAUAGACAUCUCUUACUCUUACUUAAAUGUAGGCUCUCAAAUAACGGCCAUCAAUUGGUUGAUUACAAAUAUUAUGCAUGUCAGCUUCAAGUCAUGUUUUUUGCACAUUUAAUUCCCAGAAGAUCAAGAGUUUUGGAAUCUAAACGUGAGCAUAUUUGGCUUAGCUUGCCGGCAACAUCCGCCGUUUUAGUCGUCAUAAAAAAAAAAAGUAGAAAAAAUAUAUAUAUUUGUCUUUGUCAAAUAAAAUAUAAGGGGUAACACCGUCGUUUUUCAUCAAUCAUCAUGGGGAAAGAACAUAAGGGGUAACACUGUUGUUUUGAUCAAAUUAAACGUAACGGGUAACACUGUCGUUUUUUAUCUGUCGUCAUGAAAAAACCAUAAGGGGUAACACUGUCGAAAUGUAUCGAAUAAAACAUAAGGGGUAACAAUGUUGUUUUUUAUUGGUCGCCAUGAAAAAAACCAACCUGGUCUCACAGGAAUCUGUGAAAUGACUACGGACGAAUAACUCGAAAUCCGUGGACACAUCACGGAAACACGCCGAUUUCCGUGAUGUGGCCACGGAAUUCGCUCCAAUGCAAGUUAAUGACGCUGAUGUUCCGUGGCUCACACACGGAUCCCCGUUUCAACGAGCGAGUCGACCACGGGGGCUUAACUCAAAACCCGGGGUGGUCUCACUGAAACACUUAAAUUGUCCUUGUUGUGUCCACGGAAGUUGCUCCAAUGCAAGUAAAUGACAAUGAUAUUCCAUGGCACACACACAGAUUCCCGUUUCAAUCUGUGUGUGUGCUCCCGUUUCAAUCUGUGUGUGCUACAUUUGACCACAGUGGGGGCUUAACUCAAAAUCUGUGGUGGUCUGACGGAAUCACUUCAAUUGUCCGUGAUGUGGCCACGGAAUUUGCUCCAUUGCAAGUAAAUGACACUGUUAUUCCGUGGCUCACACACGAAUAUCGGCGUGUUUCCGUGAUGUGGCCACGGAUUUCAAGUUAAGCGUCCGACCGUAGUCAUUUCACGGAUUCCUGUGAGACCAUGUUGAAAAAAACAUAAGGGGUAACACUGUUGUUUUUUAUUGGUCGUCAUGAAAAAAAACAUAAGGGGUAACACUGUUGUUUUUUAUUGGUCGUCAUGAAUAAAACAUAAGGGGUAACACUGUUGUUUUUUGUCGUCAUGAACAAAAACAUAAGGGGUAACACUGUUGUUUUUUAUCGGCCGUCAUGAAAAAAAACAUAAGGGGUAACACUGUUGUUUUUUAUUGGUCGUCAUGAAAAAAACAUAAGGGGUAACACUGUUGUUUUUUAUCGGCCGUCAUGAAAAAAAACAUAAGGGGUAACACUGUUGUUUUUUAUUGGUCGUCAAGAAAAAAACAUAAGGGGUAACACUGUCGUUUCGUGAUGUGGCCACGGAAUUUGCUCCAUUGCAAGUAAAUGACACUGUUAUUCCGUGGCUCACACACGAAUAUCGGCGUGUUUCCGUGAUGUGGCCACGGAUUUCAAGUUAAGCGUCCGACCGUAGUCAUUUCACGGAUUCCUGUGAGACCAUGUUGAAAAAAACAUAAGGGGUAACACUGUUGUUUUUUAUUGGUCGUCAUGAAAAAAAACAUAAGGGGUAACACUGUUGUUUUUUAUCGGUCGUCAUGAAAAAAAACAUAAGGGGUAACACUGUUGUUUUUUAUUGGUCGUCAAGAAAAAAACAUAAGGGGUAACACUGUCGUUUUUAUUGGUCGUCAUGAAUAAGGUAGUCAUGAAAAAAACACGACAAAACACGACAAAAAAAAAUGGAAAUAUGAUGGAAGACACAUAUUUCCAUUUCAUGCGAAUUAUAACUUCAAGUAUAACCAUUGUAACGACUUUAUUCAGUGUCGUGGUGGUGCAUUGAUUAGUUUGGAGGUUCACACUCUGAACAGCUCAGGUUCGGAUCCCCGCAAAAACGUCUAAACAUUUUUUUUUUAUCGUUCGUCAAGAAAAAAAACAUUAGGGGUAACACUGUUGUUUUUUAUCGGUCGUCAUGAAAAAAAACAUAAGGGGUAACACUGUUGUUUUUUAUCGGUCGUCAUGAAAAAAACAUAAGGGGUAACACUGUUGUUUUUUGUCGUCAUGAACAAAAACAUAAGGGGUAACACUGUUGUUUUUUAUCGGCCGUCAUGAAAAAAAACAUAAGGGGUAACACUGUUGUUUUUUAUUGGUCGUCAUGAAUAAAACAUAAGGGGUAACACUGUUGUUUUUAUUGGUCGUCAUGAAUAAAACAUAAGGGGUAACACUGUUGUUUUUUAUUGGUCGUCAUGAAAAAAAACAUAAGGGGUAACACUUGUUUUUUAUUGGUCGUCAUGAAUAAAACAUAAGGGGUAACACUGUUGUUUUUUGUCGUCAUGAACAAAAACAUAAGGGGUACCACUGUUGUUUUUUAUUGGUCGUCAUGAAAAAAAACAUAAGGGGUAACACUGUUGUUUUUUAUUGGUCGUCAUGAAUAAAACAUAAGGGGUAACACUGUUGUUUUUUGUCGUCAUGAAAAAAAACAUAAGGGGGGUAACACUGUUGUUUUUUAUUGGUCGUCAUGAAUAAAACAUAAGGGGUAACACUGUUGUUUUUUAUUGGUCGUCAUGAAUAAAACAUAAGGGGUAACACUGUUGUUUUUAUUGGUCGUCAUGAAAAAAAACAUAAGGGGUAACACUUGUUUUUUAUUGGUCGUCAUGAAUAAAACAUAAGGGGUAACACUGUUGUUUUUUGUCGUCAUGAACAAAAACAUAAGGGGUAACACUGUUGUUUUUUAUUGGUCGUCAUGAAAAAAAACAUAAGGGGUAACACUGUUGUUUUUAUUGGUCGUCAUGAAUAAAACAUAAGGGGUAACACUGUUGUUUUUUGUCGUCAUGAACAAAAACAUAAGGGGUAACACUGUUGUUUUUUAUCGGUCGUCAUGAAAAAAACAUAAGGGGUAACACUGUCGUUUUUAUUGGUCGUCAUGAAAAAAAACAUAAGGGGUAACACUUAUUUUUUAUUGGUCGUCAUGAAUAAAACAUAAGGGGUAACACUGUUGUUUUUUGUCGUCAUGAACAAAAACAUAAGGGGUAACACUGUUGUUUUUUAUUAAGCCGAGGCUUCCAGCCAUAGGACGUGACGGGACGGAGGCAGAACCACCCAUGGAACCACCCCCACGCGGAC
ensembl:lncRNA